GACCUGGAUCCGGAGGGGGUCCGGGAACCUGCGGGCCGGGCGCUCGCUGUCCCCCCACUCAGGCUGCGACAGGGGCAGCGUCGGGCCCUCCAGGAAGCCAGACUCGGAAGGUGCCUGGGGCACAGAUGAGGCGCGGGAGAGGCGGCCUGAGCGGAGCAGGACAACUUUGCAUUUUAGUUGGACUUAACUCGCCCUCCUCUCCUCGCUCCCCUUCCCCAAAACGCCUUUCUCUUCCGGGGUCAGCCGGGACCGCCCCGAAGUGUACCUGGCGCGCCGUGGGCGCCUCGAGCUAGGGGUUUUGAGGCGUCGGCGCCGCCCCGGCCGCUGCUUCCUCGGCCAUUUGCGUGCUCGCUGCUCACGGCAGCCCCAGCCCCGCGCGGCGCCCCGGCCGGGCCGUGCGCUCUGGUCCGCGGGCACCGCCUGCAGGCGGUGGGACCUGGGAGCACAUCUUCAGUAAUCGUUGUUUGUAUACGUAGUAAUAGGAAAUCCCUCUCCCCAUGCCACCAAAAGCACAGGAGUCAGAGCGUCUGCGCGAUUCUCGUAGAUGUGGAUGCACCCCCUCGGGAGCCCAAAUGCAGACACGAGCUGGCAAAGCCUCGGGCCAGAACCCGGAUCUGCCCCCUCUUCUCCUGUAACUGUUUGUAUCACACUCCCUAUCUCGGAAUAACCAAACUGGCUUCUUCACGAAGGGUUGCCGACCAAGUCAAAGCCAGUCACACUGAUGGAUUGUUUUUCCGAGGUCUACUCUGACGCCUCGCCCGGCCGCCCCCUAGUCCUCGCAGCUUUUCCUUCCAGUGUACUCAAACACCAGAUUCCACCUGCAGUCGCAGCCAAGACACCAUUCGGGCUCUCGCACUCCCGCCCCCGAGCUGCCAAAGCUAAAAUCUGGAGCCACGGAAUCCACAUUUCUGCAGAAGACUGAAAGCUGAGCAUGCUCAAUGACCAAGGCAAAUUUUGGUCUGUAACUAGUUGGUGCAAAGCGUAUGUGGCUCCACAGACUUUCCUCUGAGUUCCAACUGGGCACAAGACAGUUUCCCCGGGUGAGGGAGGAGGGGGACGCUUCAUCGUUCCCACUCUGCUGUGAGGGCUCCUUUCUUCCCGGUGAGGGUGGGGCCAGUACCACUCUGCCCUGUACCUUUGGUUUCUACCCCAGCACUAUCAUCUUAACUCUCUGAUUCCGCUCAAUCCCUAAACUGCGUCGCCCUGCCCACUCCACCCUCUCUUUUAUUUGCUUGGUUUGAUUUCUACAUUCUCAAGGAAGGCUGCCUGGACUUUGAACCUUAGCCACCCUUCCUUCAUUCCUGCAUUCCAGAAACCCAUUUUGUGGCACCUUUAGUGGAAAACUGUGAUUCGUGACUGAGAGAUUGAGUCUAGAAUGGUAAGCAAGUCACUAUCUUUGCAAAUUUUCCAACUGCUUUUUAAAAAAAAAUGAAAAUAAAGAAGGCCUGCCUCCCUCAUCUUAAUCUUCUAUUGACUUCCAGAGAUUAUCACACUAGGUUAUUUUAAUGAACACUAAAUGUGUUUUCAAGA